ensembl:lncRNA
CACAGCUGUGGGUGCUCAUGGGGAGGGGUGAGGUCAGGUCCUGCUCUGCCCGGCCAUCAGCAGGGGUGCCAUUGGGGUGCAGGUCUGUGUGGGGCGGGAUGGCUGUGGGCCCCACCUCUUCCCCCUCAGCUUGCUGGAGGGUGGGUGAGAAACCUUUCGUGGUUUCUCUUCCUUGUGGCCGUGCGAAGGUGGUCCAAGUCCAGACUUCUGUUGGGCAGCAGAGCAGGAGAGCUGCCCAAAUUCCAACCCAGAGAAUACAAAGGGCCCCAUGCAGUGCUGUGGCUCUGGGGAGAACGAGCUGUCUCGGAGUGGUGGGACGUGUCCAGGGGCCACGGCGGGCUGCAGCCCCUCACCUUGUGUCCCUCACAGCUGCCAUUCUCUGGGGCCUGCCCUAACCGCGGCCAGGGUGGGCGCCAAUGGCCAACGCUCACUAUGGGAGGAGCCCUUCCUGCUCCUCGCGUGGCUGUGCUAUUUGCACUGUGACCACCGCCCACCCCGGCGGUCCCACCAGGCCACCCAGAGGGCCCUGGGGACGCUGCCCCACGUGCACCCCGCUAGGAAGCCUCUAGAUCCUGGGCACCGUUUCCUCUGACGCGUUCCUUCCCCCCGUCCUCUCCUGGCCUUGCGAGUGUCUGCAGGGCACCGUGCAUGCACUUAAAGUGUGUUCCUGGGUGAGGCUGUGGUCACUGGAAGCCCUUCCCAAAGCGACCCCCACAAGGCCACGUUCCAGCCUCCGGGUUGGAGGGCUGCUUCUCACACGGGCAGCUGAGCCGGAGGUCCGCAUGGAGUUCCAGCAGAAGUCCCAGAGAGUGUCCCUACUGCCUUCCCUUCCGUUCCCACCGGGAACAGCAGCGCGUCCGGUGCCUCCAACAGCUCCAAGGAUGGCCUCCCUGACGCCCCCUGAGCGCAAGGAGUUGUGGCUCUGCCAGUGCCUUUGUGCCCUGCCCACAGGGGAGGGGGCUCGGGGGGUGGCACCUGCAGCCACGAGGACUCCAUCUCCUGGCCGAGCAGAGGUGGUGAGGAGGGGAGCUGCGGCCUGGCGUGCAGUGUGGCUGCAAUAUGGGUGGCACCGCGUGGGACAUCACCGGGCUGUCAGCUCAGCACGGGCACAUGGCUGUCCAAAGAGGUUCCAGGCACAGAUAAGACGUUCAGUUGGGAUUUGCGCCUCAGGGGACCAGCGGGGACAUUUAAGGGCAGCGUGCGCGGCCAUUAUUAGUGCUUUUGGCUGUCAGCUUCAGCGUGUCCUCACAGACUGCCUCAAUGGCACCGAGCUCAGUGAGGGCCGCUGGGCCCCGGUGCGGCCUACAGCCCUGCUCCCCAUGGGGUGCUGCCCUGAAGGGAGGCAGGGCGAGCAGAUCCAGGUGCCCUCGGGGGCUGGGAGCUACAGAGCAGCCCUGCCUGGGGGUCACACAGCCGUGGGAGGGGUCAGGUUCGGGUGGGGGUCCACACUUCCCCCACUUCCCAUAUCCCAGAGCUGGGUGUCACAGGCCUGGUGGGACUCGAUGCAGUCAUUUCCCUCUAUUAUUGGAGCUUUUUUAUCAGUGAGUUACGAGUCCUUUGCCACCGGCAGUGGCCUGAGCGCUAUACGAUGUACAAAGAAAAGGCAGCUCUGGUGCCAAAGUGCUUAUUGUUCAAAAUGCAGAUUUUUUUUUGUUUUUCUUUUUUUCCCUUCAAAGCAAACCAAUAGACGGAAAACCAGAUGAAAAAACAGUGGGAGCCCAGAGACGAGAGAGAAGGAUUUACUUUGUUAUUUAACCUGGGAUCUGCUGCGCUGUGCUCAGCAGCCUGCCCUAAGGAGCCUGCCUUGGGAGGGGUUGGGCUGGGGGAUCUGCAGAGCUUCCUUCCCACCCCUGAAAUCCUGUGAUUCCGUGGUUCUGUCUUCUCCAGGCACCCCUUGAAAUGGAGCCCUGGCAGAGAUCGUAGAUUGGUUUGAGUUGGACGGGACCCUGAAAAGCCAUCUGGUCCCACUCCCCUGCAAUGGGCAGGGUCACCCACAGCUCCUUCAGGAUGCUCAGAGCCUGGUCCAUUUCUGAGUGCUUCAUUGUUUUUAACGUGCCGCAGAAUUCUGUGUCGCCAACUCACGAGUGCAGAUGUUGUUGUGGACCGGCAGGAGCUAUUGGCAGUUGGGUCUUUUCCCACCUCCGAAGACAUGUGAAGCAAUUUGGAUCCAUGCGACGCUAGCUGAAUUGUGCUGUUAACAUGAUAAGUGGCGUUACAAAUAAACCCAUUGGAAACGCAACCAAGGUAUUUGAAACACACAGGCCUAUCAAUGCUGUGAAGCGCAGUGUUGCCACAAGAACCGGUGCCAUGGCAGAAGUCGAGAGGAAGCUGCUCAUUCCGGCAUGCCCAGCCUGCACGCCAUGCCAUCCUUCAGUCUUGGAGCUGCAUGUCAACCAGGAUGACAAAAGCAGUGAUGGAACGGCAGCUUGCUUGGGGGGCUGUGCAGGGGACCAUGGGCCCUCUGGAGAAAAACAGCAAGCGAGGAGGUCGUUAAUGCUGGGGGAGCAGUCUGCAACUGCGGCCCUGGUGCUGUCCUUCCCAGUGCCAGCAGUGAGAGCCAAGGCAGGAGGGAGCUGUGCCUGUGAGUCCCGAUGGUGAGAGCUCUGCGUGAACCACCUUGGAGCCCGGACAGCUGUUAUGAUAGACCUCUAUUCUGAGCUGUUUGUCUGGUGAGUCACUUUUAAAGGAACAAGGCUGAAACCACAUUGCUGCUAAUGACUCUUUCCACGGGUGUGGCUUCCCUUUGCUUGAGUACGCUUGAAGUCAUGCGCAGUGAGAGGUGUUUUCAGGGACCGGCUUAUUUUUGGCACUGAAUUUAGAACAGGGCCAUGUUCUGCCCAGAAGUUCACACCUUGCAACUGGCUCCCACCCACCCUUCACUUAUUUACCAUUCUGUUUUGAAAAUGGACCGAGGACUACAGACCACACAUGCCUAUGAGAUGCUGCACUUCAUUCAUGAUGGUACUUCAGAUACUGAGUGUUGAACCCCCAGAACAGGAGAGCAAGUCAGUAAUUUGCACCAGGUCAACUUGAUUAUUUUCUGAUUAUUUUCGUCCCGCUAAUCCUGUCGAUUAAAGAGAGGUGAUCCAGAGCUGUCAGUAAUCUUUGGGGAUGAAGCACGGGUGGAGCAAAGUUGAGCUUAGUGAAAUCUACCGGAUAGACCAAAACAGCACCAAACUGUUUGGUUCUCACCCCCACUGACUCUCUCUUAAAAAAUACAUGUAGGAAGAUUGAGCAUAGAAAACAUUUAUCAUUUCAGCGCAACUUCUCCUAUAUCUCUUUGUGCCUCCUUGUUAAAUAGUGCUUUGCUCUCUGGAAGCAAGGCGAAAAACAAGGGGACAGAAUAAAGUUGGGGUACUUGAAUUUGUGACUUAAUUACGUCGUCAUUACCAGAGCGGCUUCCCUAGAUGUGUGCAGGACUGUGUGAUACAUCCUGAGGAACGCGUCCCAGUCCUGUGAGGUACCUGGUGAAAUCAUUUCAAGUAUCUACUGCCGACUUUGCUGGGAAUAAAGAUGCCUUGGGAGACUCACUGCACCCAACCCAGCCACGGAAACAGCAAUUGUGCCUUCGCCUCUCUCUGUUCUCAAAUACAAGCAGUUUGUCACCAAAGUGGUGCUUGAAGUAACUUCACUAAUUUCAGUACGGUUUAACCGAGAGCAGGUUUCAUCUGUUGCCUCCGAAAUAUUAGUUUGUGGAUUCCUGUGGAAAGAUAAAACAGGAGGGAGAAAAAUAUUCUCCUUCACUUGUGUGAAUUCCUACUAAAACAUCAUUUACUUUCUUGUUCCCUAGUGGAAAAGCAUGCUUGAUUUCAAUUAAAAUGAAAUGUCAUCAUUUUGGGACGUGCUGCAUAGUUUUAACAAAUACGCCUUGUGUUCAUCCAUCAGGGAGAAGAUGUUGGAUUUGUAUAAAGGCCAACAGGCCAGAUCUGGAUCCUCAGCUCCGCAAGAGGUGUCAACAGCAGCUGUGACGAACUGUUCUCAGCAGGUCCCCUACCAAAGCACAGCUGACUGGAGACCUGUCUUCUGGAUGGCAGUCAGAUGAGAGAUCAUUGAUGAAAUAAGCAGUAAGAUCAUUUCCAGCACUAACUCUUGAUGUUGAAUUCACAGAAUCACAUACUGUCUGAGCCGGGAAGAGACCGCUGGGUCCUUCUGAUCCAACCCCCUCCCCAGGAUCGGACACCCAGAGCAGAGUGCCCAGGCCCCCGUCCAGCUGAGUUUUGAAGACGUCCAAGCAGGAAACCCCAACAUCUCUCUGGGAAACCAGUAACAGUGCUCUGGCACCAGCACAGUGAAGAAGUGCUUCAAGAAAUGUAGGAAGGAGAUCUUGGGUUCAGGUCCACGGCAGCACUAAGCCGUUGGUGAUGUGCCACGGCUACAUCUUCAGAGAGAUGGGAGAAGCGUCGCCAUUCGCACAGGAACAAAUAUGCUGACUCAGUAAUGGAAGAAUGCUAAAGAAAAUGUAUCCACUUGGAGAUCUUUUUUCUAUAUUCUUUCAUCCUAGAAUUUCAUGGAACGAGAAUAACAUAGUUACUUGUUUGUGUUGAAAUCAAACAUGCUUGUUCUUCACUUGCAAAAAUAGGAAACUUCUUUCAAAGUGACACUCUUCAUGAAAGAAUAGAAGUGUGCAGCUGCUGUAUGACUAAGUGAUUAAAAACCUGAUGGCUAAUUCAUUUUAGGUGAUAUGUUUGCACUCAAGGCCAAGUAUCAUAAAAAUAGCUGCUUCGCUUUUCUUUUUUAAUAUUAAGUAAAACACCAUAGAGUUUUCAGUAGGCUGGCAAGAUUUUCCAUAUCCAGUUUUGCCCAAUUGAAGUCAGGCUACCACAACUAGAAUUGUCUUCUCUCUAAUAUUUCCCUUUUACGCAGCCUUCACCCACGUAGUUUUUACUAGACAAAUGGUUUUAAACUACCUGAGGCCAAGGGGAAAGUUCACAACAUUUUAUAAAUCUUGCCUGGAAAAUGCCAAGAUAGAUGGCAUUUUCUUGGCUCGUACACUGUGUGUAGGGAAGUAGAGAGAGUUUAGAGAGUUUAUGAGACUUAAUAGUCUGCUCACCAAAGCGGUAGUAUUUAACUCAUUGAGUGCUAUUUGAGGACUCGACAUGGCUAGAGAAGAAUGUCAUAUUGUUGUUAAUAUUAUUAUUUGUUAUUUUUGUUAUUGAGCUUAGAUGCGUAGAAGACAACCAGAGAUGCUUGAUUUUGGGUUCAGUGUGCUGAUGUACGUUGCUUGUCCUUAUAAUCUAAUUAAAAG